UAGAAUAAUGACGCUACUUUUCACGGAAUCGCGAAUUUAUAUAGAUGAUAAAGGUUACGACUGGAAUCGAGAGUCUCUACCUUGUCCCGCCAUUUCAAAACCUUUAAAUUGUAUCUGAACAUAUGCUUUAUUAUUCUGUAUGUCAUCUGUCUGUAAGUAUGGUUUCAUAGUGUUUCUUUCUCUAUUUCAGGACCUAUUUACAUAUGUUAUGCUAUUUUAUAUGACAUCGCUCACUCAUUAUUUAUUGGUGUUUCACGUUUUCCUCACACAGGAAAAAGAGCAUUACGUGAAUAGUCCUUGAAAUAGCUAUUCAUACAAUGCUCCUUUUUUUCUUUUUCCUGUUUUUUUUUUUUUACUCUAUGAUCUGCGUAUACGUACGCAUAACCAAUGUGACACAACAAAGUCAUCGAGGCUGUUUCUGAGGGAUAAAGAUCGAAAAUUGAUUUAAUAUUAUUAACUACCGAGUUACGAAGUUUUUUUUUUGUUUUUUAACUGUUCGAUUUUCCGAAAUAUUCAGUCCAGAAAUGGCCUAAAUACCAAAGUUUCCAGCGGGAGGUGCGCUUGCUCCAGAUUUAAAUCUACGGGGCGCGCCU